rnacentral:rRNA from 1 species
UCGGGAAUAUUGGGCAAUGGAGGGAACUCUGACCCAGCCAUGCCGCGUGCAGGAUGAAGGCGUUAUGCGUUGUAAACUGCUUUUAUAUAGGAAGAAAUAGUCCUUGCGAGGAAAGUUGACGGUACUAUAUGAAUAAGCACCGGCUAACUCCGUGCCAGCAGCCGCGGUAAUACGGAGGGUGCAAGCGUUGUCCGGAUUUAUUGGGUUUAAAGGGUGCGUAGGCGGUUUAUUAAGUCAGUGGUGAAAGACGGUCGCUCAACGAUUGCAGUGCCAUUGAUACUGGUAGACUUGAGUAUGAUUGAGGUAGCUGGAAUGGAUAGUGUAGCGGUGAAAUGCAUAGAUAUUAUCCAGAACACCAAUUGCGUAGGCAAGUUACUAAGUCAUAACUGACGCUGAGGCACGAAAGUGUGGGUAUCAAACAGGAUUAGAUACCCCGGUAGUCCCUGAGCGGGC